UGUUUUGUGUUUUAUUAAAAGAAAAGGAGUGAAUUAGACAGUAUGGGAUCAUAAAUGGAGAAGCUUACAGAAGAUAAAGCCUUUCAAGUGAAGGAGAGUAAGGAGAAAGUGGUUGGGGUAUUUUAAGAAGUGAAGAACUCUGUCCUGUGUGUGGAAUUCAAGAUAUUGAUCAACUAUUCCCACAAGAAGAAGCAUUUCCUUACAGGGUACCAUGGAUGUGAGGCAAUAUAAAUCUAAAGGACAACGAAGGCCUAGUUAAAAGCCACUUUCCUGCAUAUUCAGUCUACAUUGUUUGCUCACAAAAGGACUCAAACAAAUUAACAUUCUAAGGAAAAACUCUGCCAGGAGAAUUAAACUUAGGUGUCAUAUCCAAUACUCUUAUUACUCAGCUGUAGUGUUUUUUAAUGUACUGAAUAGGUUUAUUUGAAUAAAUUCACAAUUGUUUG